UACUUCAUUGGUUUCCUCUUUUAAAUCAUUUCUUAAAGCUAGCAAUUAAGCAAAAGUCCUUGACUUAAUUCACAGAGAAUCACUGUUUGAACGACUUUUCCCAACCAUUUGUUAAUUCUUUUCAUGCAACUUUUUCUUUCAGCGAUCCAUUCACUGUGGUACACGUACACAGCAAUAUCUGGUAUUGAAAAUGUUCCAGAGUUUGUGUCAGUGGGCUUUCUGGAUGGGGUGCCCUUAGUGUAUUAUGACAGCAACACUCGCAGAAUGAGUCCCCGACAGGAGUGGAUGGACAAGUCUGUGGAAUCUGUCUACUGGGAAAGAGAGACUCAGAUCUCCAUAGGAUUUCAAGAACUAUACAAGAUUAACAUCUAUAUUGCAAAGGAGCACUUCAAGCAGACUGGGGGUGUGCACACAUUACAGGUGAUAUACGGCUGUGAAUGGGAUGAUGAAAGUGGAGCUACAAGUGGGUUCAACCAGUUUGGAUAUGAUGGAGAGGACUUACUGUCUCUGGAUUUGAAGGAGCUGAGAUGGAUUUCACCAGUGCAGCAGGGGUUCAUCACCACACAGAAGUGGAACAAUGACAGAUUGUGGCUUGAGAAAAACAAACAUUUCUUCAGCACCGAGUGCACUGAGUAACUGAAGAAUCUCUCCUCAGGUGUCUGUGUUACAGAAGGAUUCCUCUUCUUCAGUCACGUGUCAUGCUACAGGUUUUUACCCCAGUGGAGUAACAAUCACCUGGAUGAAAAAUGGAAACUCUGAUCCAGUUGGCAUUGUUGGUGUUGUUGUUGUUGUUGUGAUCCUGUUGGUUGUCAUCAGUGUCAUCGGGUAUUUUGUGUAUCAGAAGAAAAGGAGGACAGGUGAGAGCAGACAUGUGACAU